AACGAACGCUGGCGGCAGGCUUAACACAUGCAAGUCGAGCGCAUCCUUCGGGGUGAGCGGCCGACGGGUGAGUAACGCGUGGGAAUCUACCUUUUGCUACGGAAUAGCUCCGGGAAACUGGAAUUAAUACCGUAUGUGCCCUUAGGGGGAAAGAUUUAUCGGCAAGAGAUGAGCCCGCGUUGGAUUAGCUAGUUGGUGGGGUAAAGGCCUACCAAGGCGACGAUCCAUAGCUGGUCUGAGAGGAUGAUCAGCCACAUUGGGACUGAGACACGGCCCAAACUCCUACGGGAGGCAGCAGUGGGGAAUAUUGGACAAUGGGCGCAAGCCUGAUCCAGCCAUGCCGCGUGAGUGAUGAAGGCCUUAGGGUUGUAAAGCUCUUUCACCGGAGAAGAUAAUGACGGUAGCCGGAGAAGAAGCCCCGGCUAACUUCGUG
rnacentral:rRNA from 1 species